rnacentral:sRNA from 1 species
UGCGAUAGGUCCGGAGUCAGUGGGUUAUCAAUCCGUGAACCACCCCAUUGGCAUUCACUCGACCUCCGC